AUUGAACGCUGGCGGCAGGCCUAACACAUGCAAGUCGAGCGAGUGGCGGACGGGUGAGUAAUGUCUGGGAAACUGCCAGAUGGAGGGGGAUAACUACUGGAAACGGUAGCUAAUACCGCAUACCAUCAGAUGUGCCCAGAGGGUAUUAGCUAGUGGGUGGGGUAAGGGCUCACCUGGGCGACGAUCCCUAGCUGGUCUGAGAGGAUGACCAGCAAAACGGGAAUUGGGACACGGUCCAGACUCCUACGGGAGGCAGAGGUGGGGAAUAUGGCACAAUGGGGGAAAGCCUGAUGCAGCCAUGCCGCGUGUAGGAAGAAGGCCUGCGGGUUGUAAAGUACUUUCAGCGAGGAGGCGUUACUCGCAGAAGAAGCCCCGGCUAACUCCGUGCCAGCAGCCGCGGUAAUUC
rnacentral:rRNA from 1 species